rnacentral:tRNA from 1 species
AGUCAAUUAACUUAAUUAAAGUAUAUAUUUUGAAAAUAUACCAUAUAAGUUUAAACCUUAUAUUGACUU